AAGUCGUAACAAGGUUUCCGUAGGUGAACCUGCGGAAGGAUCAUUAUUGAUUGUGAAUCGUUGCCUUCAGUGCUGGCUCCGGCAAGUGCACGCUGGUGACUUUCAUCCAACCCCCUGUGAACCUUUGGCCUCUUGCUAGCUUUGGCUGGCAGAGGAAUUUUACACACUCGAAUGUAAUGAAACUAUUGUUGUGCGCAUGCACGAAUAUACAACUUUCAACAACGGAUCUCUUGGCUCUC
rnacentral:misc_RNA from 1 species